CCUGAGAAACCCGAAAKAUCGAAUGGGGAGAUUCAUCGUCAGCGUGUUAUGGCGGUUGGGCGGUUCGCGAUGCCGGAGACUUCGGUCUCGUGGCACGCGUCCGUUCAUCGUUGCCUUUCAUCGUCGGCGUGCACUUCUCCCCUAGUAGGACGUCGCGACCCGUUGGGUGUCGGUUUACGGCCCGGGUGGUAGCCUGUCAUGUGUCACGCUUUAUCGCGCGCGCAUGUGGCAGACCCCCGGUUGUCUGACCAGCUGCCCGGCGGUACUCGCACGGUAUCAAGCCGCAAUUGAACUGCGUCCGGCCCAUCGCAAGCGAGGCCAGUGUUUUUUACCCGGAUGUACGGACCUGGUGCCGUCACCGGGCCUGGCCAGCUGUUGGUUGAUGGUGCUCUGGGACUGGCUUUAAAAUAAUGAUUACCGGUCGGCGACGCUACUGCUUUGGGUACUUYMAGGA
rnacentral:rRNA from 1 species